AACGAACGCUGGCGGCAUGCCUAACACAUGCAAGUCGAACGAGACCUUCGGGUCUAGUUGCGCACGGGUGCGUAACGCGUGGGAACCUUCCCUUAGGUUCGGAAUAACUCCCCGAAAGGGGUGCUAAUACCGGAUAAUGUCUUCGGACCAAAGAUUUAUCGCCUUUGGAUGGGCCCGCGUUGGAUUAGCUAGUUGGUAGGGUAAAAGCCUACCAAGGCGACGAUCCAUAGCUGGUCUGAGAGGAUGAUCAGCCACACUGGGACUGAGACACGGCCCAGACUCCUACGGGAGGCAGCAGUGGGGAAUAUUGGACAAUGGGCGAAAGCCUGAUCCAGCAAUGCCGCGUGAGUGAUGAAGGCCUUAGGGUUGUAAAGCUCUUUUACCCGGGAUGAUAAUGACAGUACCGGGAGAAUAAGCUCCGGCUAACUCCGUG
rnacentral:rRNA from 1 species